rnacentral:lncRNA from 1 species
CUGGCCGUGCCAGUUCAGUGAUCUCUUGCUGCAGAUGCCAUUCGUCAUGUGACAGUUCUCUCAAACCAAGUUGAUAGUCAAAUAGAAGAAGAGAAUACUGGCUGUGCCAGUCCAGUGAUCUUUUGCUGCAGAUGCCAUUCGUCAUGUGACAGUUCUCUCAAACCAAGUUGAUAGUCAAAUAGAAGAAGAGAAUACUGGCCGUGCCAGUUCAGUGAUCUCUUG